rnacentral:rRNA from 1 species
AGUGAACGCUGGCGGUAGGCCUAACACAUGCAAGUCGAACGGCAGCACAGUAAGAGCUUGCUCUUACGGGUGGCGAGUGGCGGACGGGUGAGGAAUACAUCGGAAUCUACUUUUUCGUGGGGGAUAACGUAGGGAAACUUACGCUAAUACCGCAUACGACCUACGGGUGAAAGCAGGGGAUCUUCGGACCUUGCGCGAUUGAAUGAGCCGAUGUCGGAUUAGCUAGUUGGCGGGGUAAAGGCCCACCAAGGCGACGAUCCGUAGCUGGUCUGAGAGGAUGAUCAGCCACACUGGAACUGAGACACGGUCCAGACUCCUACGGGAGGCAGCAGUGGGGAAUAUUGGACAAUGGGCGCAAGCCUGAUCCAGCCAUACCGAGUGGGUGAAGAAGGCCUUCGGGGUGUAAAGCCCUUUUGUUGGGAAAGAAAAGCAGCAGGUUAAUACCCCGCUGUUCUGACGGUACCCAAAGAAUAAGCACCGGCUAACUUCGUG